UACGUAGGGUGCAAGCGUUAAUCGGAAUUACUGGGCGUAAAGCGUGCGCAGGCGGUUCGCUAAGACCGAUGUGAAAUCCCUGGGCUUAACCUGGGAACUGCAUUGGUGACUGGCGGGCUAGAGUAUGGCAGAGGGGGGUAGAAUUCCACGUGUAGCAGUGAAAUGCGUAGAGAUGUGGAGGAAUACCGAUGGCGAAGGCAGCCCCCUGGGCCAAUACUGACGCUCAUGCACGAAAGCGUGGGGAGCAAACAGG
rnacentral:rRNA from 1 species